rnacentral:lncRNA from 1 species
GCCGUUCCUACCCUUCCAUAAACUGGUAUCAGGUAAAGGAUGCUACAAUUCAAAUGUCUGUCCAGCUGGGUUCUGUGCAUGGCAGAGCCAGCCCUAGGUAUCUUUCAAGUGUAGGCGAACAGAAUUUUGGCGCCUCCCCCCCCCCAAACCAAUCACUGAAAAAAUAAAAGCGUUGGAUAAGCAAAAAUGUUGGAUAAUAAGGAGGGAUUAAGGAAAAGCCUAUUAAACAUCAAAUUACAUUAAGAUUUUACAAAUUAAGCACCAAAACAUUGUUUUACAAGAAAUCAACAGAAAAAGCAGUCUCAAGUGCGCCCCGUAUGUUUUGCGCCCCAGCAACUGCUUAAUUCGCCUCAUUGUUGGACCGGCUCUGGUGCAUGGUACAGAUGGUUCUUUGUUUCAGGCAGCAAAAUAUCUUAGGCUGGCCUUACUGACUACGAACAACUGUCUUUCUUCUCCCACCUUUCUUACACGUAUUGCUGAGAUGUUGUUGUUGUUGUUGUUAUUAUUAUUAAUAUUAUAUUUUUAUCCCGCCUUAUCUCACGCCAAGGGGGACUCAGAAGGGCUUACAACUUGGCACAAUUCGAUCCCACAUCAAAACAUAAACAUAACAAAUUAUAAAUACAUCAAACAUUAAAUCAUUGGACAUAAAACAGUAACAGAUAAAUACAAUUAAAACAGGAUCUUAAGAGGAAUUAAAAGAACCAUAUCCUCCACAAUCAGAGUCCAUGAGCCAUUUCAGUUACAGUCACAUUAAUUCACAGCUGUCUAUUGCAUUGUAGCUAGUCUGCGAAUGCUUGGUUCCAAAGCCAAGAUUUUACUUAUUUUCUAAAUACCAGGAGGGAGGAGGUUGAUCUCACAUCACUAGGAAGGGAGUUCCACAGUUGAGAGGCCACCACUGAGAAGGUCCUGUCUCUUGUCCCCACCAACCACCCCUGAAAAGGAGGUGGGACUGAGAGCAGAGCCUCCCCAGAAAAUCUUAGUAUCUGUCCUGGUCAGAGCCGGCCCUAGGUAUUUUUCAAGUGUAGGCGAACAGAAUUUUGGCACCCCCCCAAAAAAACCAAUCACUGAAAAAUAAAAGCAUUGAAUAAGCGAAAAUGUUGGAUAAUAAGGAGGGAUUAAGGAAAAGCCUAUUAAACAUCAAAUUACAUCAAGAUUUUACAAAUUAAGCACUAAAACAUCAUGUUUUACAAGAAAUCAACAGAAAUAGCAGUCUCAACUGCGCCCCCGUAUGUUUUGCGCCCGAAGCAACCGCUUAAUUCGCCUCAUUGUUGGACUGACCCUGGUCCUGGUCCAUAGGAGGAGUUGCGUUCAGAUAGCUAAGCUGGGCCAGAAACUUUAAAAAAUUGGCUGGAGUUGUACUUAAGAAUGUACUUGUCCCAACCUACAUACAAAGUCAACUUAAGAACAAACCUACAGAAUCUAUCUUGUUUGUAGCCCAGGGACUGCCUAUAUUUAAUUAUACUGAGCCUUUCUUCUGAGAUGGGAUCUACUAUGGAAUGGAAGGAUGUGGCAGGUUAUCUUUUACUUUAGGUUGUAAAAUGUCUGUAUGCAAACAUAUUGGGAGUACAGGAGAGAACUGUGGGCCCUCAUUCUUACCUG